AGAGAGGAAGAGGGGAGGCAAGAGAAAGAAACUUAUUUUUUGGACCGGAGAGAGCAUGAAGACGUAAUGUGCCACGGCUUCCCUGCAGGAGUGACCUGACCUAUCAGGAGCAGGAAGGAGAUCUGAAAGUGGCCUGAUGGCCCUCACGGCCCCUGAGCCGUCCAACACGUUACUGGAUUUCCUGUGCACUCAGUGACUCUCUGAGUCCAGUGACUGGAAUGGCGUACCAACUUGGGGUCAGAGACUUCCUGGAAUGUACUUGGCACCCACGUCUCCUUUUCUGUUUAUAGGAACAGGGUUUGAGACUUGAAAGUAUCAAGAAGAGAGACCACCAGGAAGGCUCAGAAGAGGAAGCAGCAAUUAGGGACCGAGGUUGGCGCUGGCAGGGGUUGAUUGUAGAGCUUCUCUCAGGGACUCAGCUUGGCCUAAACAUCAGGGUACCGGGGGUGAUUGGACCUCAGGACCUUACCAGCUGCCCUAAUGGUCCCGACUGUCCAAGUCUCUGAUUGGUUGCUCUGUGUUCUGACCCAUCCCUCAAGUUCAUAAUCACAGGUUCACACCCUA